rnacentral:snRNA from 1 species
CUACUUGCGUGGUGCCGGGGCCUCCUUGACCACCGAGGACGAGCCCCCAGGGCGAGGACCGGGCAUCGCACAGCACUCGCGUUGACCCCUGCCACUACCCCUAACUGGGGCAGGUGGGACAUGUAAAUGGC